rnacentral:tRNA from 1 species
GGUGGGGUGCCAGAGCGGUUGAAUGGACCGGUUUUGAAAACCGGCGUACACUUCGGUGUACCGUGGGUUCGAAUCCCACCCCCACCG